GGAAGGCGACCAAAUAACCUUCAACCCCUAGUUUCACAAAAUUGAUCAAAUUGAAGGCUCUAAUCAGUUCCAAAUCGAUUUACAAGCAUAAAUUAGUGAUCAUCUCAGUGAAGUGAUCAUAAGGCAAGGAAUCCGGAUCGUCAAGUGGACAAGCCGGUGGAGACACGCGUUUGAAAGGAGUGCACUUAAGGUGAUGUUGGAAACUUUAUGGAUGGCGAUCAAGCAUGCUUUGAAGAACCGAACACGAAUUUUGAAGCUUCCACGUUAAAUUGAAUUUG